UACGAAGGGGGGCGAGCGUUGUUCGGAUUUACUGGGCGUAAAGGGCGCGCAGGCGGCUCAUUUUGUCAGGCGUGAAAGCCCCGGGCUUAACCUGGGAACUGCGUUUGAUACGGAUGGGCUAGAGUUCGGGAGAGGAGAGUGGAAUUCCCAGUGUAGAGGUGAAAUUCGUAGAUAUUGGGAAGAACACCGGUGGCGAAGGCGGUUCUCUGGGCCUGUACUGACGCUGAGACGCGAAAGCGUGGGGAGCGAACAGG
rnacentral:rRNA from 1 species